rnacentral:rRNA from 1 species
AAUGGGCGCAAGCCUGAUCCAGCAAUGCCGCGUGCAGGACGAAGGCCUUCGGGUUGUAAACUGCUUUUGUACAGAACGAAAAAGCCUCUUCUAAUACAGGGGGCUAAUGACGGUACCGUAAGAAGAAGCACCGGCUAACUACGUGCCAGCAGCCGCGGUAAUACGUAGGGUGCAAGCGUUAAUCGGAAUUACUGGGCGUAAAGCGUGCGCAGGCGGUUAUGUAAGACAGAGGUGAAAUCCCCGGGCUCAACCUGGGAACUGCCUUUGUGACUGCAUAGCUGGAGUGCGGCAGAGGGGGAUGGAAUUCCGCGUGUAGCAGUGAAAUGCGUAGAUAUGCGGAGGAACACCGAUGGCGAAGGCAAUCCCCUGGGCCUGCACUGACGCUCAUGCACGAAAGCGUGGGGAGCAAA